rnacentral:rRNA from 1 species
CCUACGGGGGGCAGCAGUCUAGAGGCUUCGGCAAUGGACGAAAGUCUGACCGAGCGACGCCGCGUGCGGGAUGAAGGGCUUCGGCUUGUAAACCGCUUUUCUUUGGGAAGAAGGCCUGCUUCGUGAAAGUGGGUUUGACGGUACCAGAGGAAUAAGCCCCGGCUAACUCCGUGCCAGCAGCCGCGGUAAGACGGAGGGGGCAAGCGUUGUUCGGAAUUAUUGGGCGUAAAGGGCUCGUAGGCGGACCGGUAAGUCUGGCGUGAAAUCUCCACCGCUCAACGGGGAGAGGCCGCUGGAUACUGCCGAUCUGGAGUACGGUAGAGGACCAUGGAAUUCCAGGUGUAGCGGUGGAAUGCGUAGAUAUCUGGAAGAACACCGGUGGCGAAGGCGGUGGUCUGGGCCGUUACUGACGCUGAGGAGCGAAAGCCAGGGGAGCGAAC